AUUGAACGCUGGCGGCAUGCUUUACACAUGCAAGUCGAACGGCAGCACGAAAGAGCUUGCUCUUUUGGUGGCGAGUGGCGAACGGGUGAGUAAUGCAUCGGAACGUACCGAGUAAUGGGGGAUAACUGUCCGAAAGGAUAGCUAAUACCGCAUACGCUUUGAGAAGGAAAGUGGGGGCUCUUCGGACCUCACGUUAUUCGAGCGGCCGAUGUCUGAUUAGCUAGUUGGUGGGGUAAAGGCCUACCAAGGCGACGAUCAGUAGAGGGUCUGAGAGGAUGAUCCGCCACACUGGGACUGAGACACGGCCCAGACUCCUACGGGAGGCAGCAGUGGGGAAUUUUGGACAAUGGGCGCAAGCCUGAUCCAGCCAUGCCGCGUGUCUGAAGAAGGCCUUCGGGUUGUAAAGGACUUUUGUUAGGGAAGAAAAGGAUAGUGUUAAUACCAUUAUCUGCUGACGGUACCUAAAGAAUAAGCACCGGCUAACUACGUG
rnacentral:rRNA from 1 species